AAGGCACAGUCUGCAACAUUUAAAUGUAGAAUAACUUUAAAAAUGUUUGAUUUUGACCAUCUGACCCAAUUUUAUUAAAAAAAGUAAAUAAUCUUUAAUAUUUCAAUUUUCUCCUAAGUCCCUCCCCUGCCCUGUAGAGCUCAGCCAAUAUUUCUGCAAGCCUAAGGCGUUGACCAAUAGCGCUGCGUUUCCACCAGGGGCAGCUGUCAAUCAUCGAGCACGAGCAGGUCUCAGCGUGCACAACAGUGUCACGCGCCUCACUCGGCUUACUGCAGAAACAUGGAGCAACAAAACCCCAAAUUACCGAUUCCUCUACUGCCUUCCACAUCUCAAAAAACAUUUAAAAAGUUUAAAAGCCCUUCUUCAAAAGUGGCUGUAAGACGUUUAAGACAGUCGAGUAGAAUUUACAUUGGAGAUUGUUUUACACACGAUGGAGAGAUUUUCGUGAUCUACACGGCCUGAAAACGGAUGAAGAGUUGGCAAAGUAUCUUUUAGACAGUCAUCAGUCCAAAUAUGAAGCAUCGACAUCUACACCAUUGAAACGCCAACUGUGUAUUUCUCCAACACCAGUGCCAGCUUUGUCUGGCAUUCAUGGAGAAUCAUCUGAAAGGGAUGAUAAUUUGGAGGAGGUGAUGGAACAAGGUGAAACUAAAAAAGAAGGAUCUUCACAAAUGUUAUCUUGUGUGGGAAUUGAAGCAAACAUUGACGAGGAAGAGUUCAACAAUAUUCAAAACUCUGUGUAAGUAUUCAGAUGUUAAUAAAAUGUGUCUAAUUUUCCAUACUAAAAACUUUAUAUUGUGUAUAUUCAGGAUAGUCAUCAGAUGACACAUGGUCACCAAACAGAGAACCAGAAGUUGAUUCGUCUUCAGAGGAGGACGAAACCAUCGAGAUGGACAGCGGUACUGAUGACAGCGGUGAUGAGGACUACACACUUUAUAUACACAUAAGGUAAUUCCUUUCGUUUAACACAGGGAUUCCCAAAGUGUGGUGCGCGCACCCCCGGGGGUGCGCAAGCUGCCGCUAGGGGGUGCGCGAGGUGAAAAGUGUAAUGGCUGCGGAGCUCAGAGAAGUCUGUCAUAUGUCACCAUUAGCGUAGCCAGAAACUCGUUUGUGGGCGGGCCUAAGAAAACGUAAGUGGGCACAAUAAAUAUAAUUGAAAACAAGUAUAUUUUUGCGCGCACGUGUGUGUGUCCUCCACAUGUGCCCUAGCUUCAUAAUAACAAUGUGCCGAGCUUCAGCACUCUGGCCUGCGCACGCCGAUAUGUUCCGUAUUUGAUCAUUUUUAACGAUGUUGGAGAAAUCUGAAGGUGGUGAGUCAUUCUGGCAGAUUGUAAUGAACACCCUGUCUCAUGCAGGUGUUCUGACAUUGUAAACCUCACACACAGAACAUUGUGGAUGUAACUAAAUAAAUAAGAAAUGUUUCCCAUUCAGGCUAUUGACAGCGUGCCGGAGAUCUGAAGUUCAGAGUGCGUCUGUCAGAGGUCAGACGCGUGCCAGCGGAACCACGGCUCACGGGUGCACAAGUGAGCACAUCUGGGCUGGGCAGAAGUCAUUUUACAACAUUGGUUUAAAUAGCGCCAAAUAACGAGGCGCGGUGACUGGAGCGGCUCAUGGAGCUGUGCCGUGCGCGCGCACACACACACGCAGAUUCAAUAACCCCCAAAUUCCACUACCUCCGCUCCGACACGAACGCCGGAGCAAAAUCGGUCCCGUUGUAGUCAAUCAGAGCAAUUCCAUUACUGCGGCCGUGCUCCGGCAGUGCGGCGCCGUGCGCCGCCCUCUGUUCCGCCAAAAAUAGAAUCGAUCCUAUUUUCGCCGGACGCCGGAGCACCUCCGCAGUAAAUGGACAGAAAUCACAACCGUCCAACAGGAAAAGGAGCAAGCACACUUUCCAUUUUUCACAAUAAAUCGAUAAACAAAAGGCGUUUUUUGUUUCAUAUGUACAGGUUUAACAACUUUUAACAAUUAUCAAUGGUGGCUGAAGUUUAAAUGCACAAAAGUAAGCCAUAAAUACAGUUUCUACUAUCAAAGUAGUCACACUUUGUUGAUCCAAACACUGCUGAUCUCUCUACACAAAUGAUAGGCAGAUUAAACAGUUCAUGCCGAUGCUUCUCCCACACAACGGGUGUUUGGAUCUAACUUCCGCGUUUAUUGCUCGGACUGUAUCGCAAGAUCUCGAAAAUCCCGCGCAUGCUUGUUUGCCCACCUCAGGUCUCCGCACCGGAGCGGAGCCGUUGUAGAGCGGGUACCAGUAAAAAUUGAGUUCGGAAGCGAGCGGCUGCGGAGGGCGGGGGCGGACCGGAGCGGAGGUAGUGGAAUUUGGGGGUAAGAGCGCGCGCUGCGCAAACUCCGGCGCCCCAGAAAUGAGCGCUGCCUCCUCUGUGAUAAAAACUUUUAAGAGGUUUUAUAACAUUUUUCAUUCCAGGUCAAAUUAAGAUAUUAGCUUCUAUUUUGGGGGGGGACGUAUUAAAGUCGGGUCCGCUCCAGCCAGUGACUCCGAACCUGACUACAGCUCCUGUUACUGCAGCAUUUGUUAUUCCAGUCCGCGUGGCAGCGGAUCGCAGAUUCAGCCACACCAUAAAACAGCAAUAAGUCGGUCUGAGGCAAAAGUGAACCUCAUGGCUUUUCCAUAUUUUCCCCUAUAGACAUUUGAUUACGCACAAGUAGGUGAUCAGUUCAGGUUUACGCAGAGCAGAAGGAAGGAGAGCGCUCUGGCCGCACAGGUUAAACGUUCCUACUUUAAGAAAACCAUUAAAUUGCAUUGUUUAUGUUCUACCUGGGCACUCUAAAUAUUUAUUUAAAAUUAAAUCAAAGGAAAUCGUAAUGGUAUCGAAUGUUUAUUAAUUACUAUUUAAAAAAUGAAAGUGAUGGGGAAAAAGGUCGAUCAUAUUUUUUUAACCCUGUCUGUUUAGCUUGACGUCUGAUAUAUAUAUAUA